GGACGCCGGGUCGGCGGGUGGAUGAACGCGGCUCUCUGUAAUGGCGGAGCGUGGUGGGGACGGGGGCGACGGUGAGCGAUUCAACCCGGGGGAGCUCAGGAUGGCCCAACAGCAGGCCUUGAGGUUCCGAGGUCCGGCUCCCCCACCAAAUGCAGUGAUGCGAGGCCCUCCACCUCUGAUGCGGCCUCCUCCACCUUUUGGUAUGAUGCGAGGCCCUCCUCCACCACCACGGCCCCCCUUUGGACGUCCUCCUUUUGAUCCUAAUAUGCCGCCAAUGCCUCCUCCAGGAGGGAUACCUCCACCUAUGGGCCCUCCACACCUCCAGAGACCACCUUUCAUGCCUCCACCCAUGAGUUCCAUGCCUCCUCCUCCGGGUAUGAUGUUUCCACCAGGAAUGCCUCCUGUGACUGCUCCUGGUACUCCAGCACUACCUCCUGCGGAGGAGAUAUGGGUUGAAAAUAAAACUCCAGAUGGGAAGGUUUAUUAUUAUAAUGCUCGGACACGUGAAUCUGCAUGGACCAAGCCAGAUGGAGUUAAGGUUAUUCAGCAAUCAGAACUGACACCUAUGCUUGCAGCCCAGGCACAGGUUCAGGCUCAAGCCCAGGCCCAGGCUCAGGCCCAGGCUCAGGCUCAGGCCCAGGCCCAGGCUCAGGCCCAGGCUCAGGCUCAGGCUCAGGCCCAGGCCCAAGCCCAAGCCCAGGCUCAGGCCCAGGCCCAAGCUCAAGCCCAGGCCCAGGCCCAGGCCCAGGCCCAGGCCCAGGCUCAGGCUCAGGCUCAGGCACAAGCACAGGCCCAGGCCCAGGCCCAGGCCCAGGUCCAGGCGCAAGUGCAAGCACAAGCAGUUGGAGCUUCCACCCCUACGACCAGUAGCCCAGCACCUGCAAUAUCCACUUCAACGUCAUCAUCCACCCCUUCCUCUACCACUUCUACCACAACAACUGUUACUUCAGUUGCGCAGACAGUAUCAACACCCACAACACAAGAUCAGACCCCAAGUUCUGCUGUUUCAGUUGCCACGCCUACAGUUAGUGUUUCAGCUCCUGCUCCUACAGCCACACCUGUGCAAACUGUUCCCCAGCCGCACCCUCAGACGUUACCUCCUGCUGUUCCUCACUCAGUACCUCAGCCAACAACAGCAAUACCUGCUUUUCCACCAGUAAUGGUACCUCCGUUUCGUGUUCCCCUUCCUGGCAUGCCAAUUCCACUUCCAGGUGUAGCAAUGAUGCAAAUAGUCAGCUGCCCGUAUGUAAAGACAGUCGCUACCACCAAGACCGGUGUAUUGCCAGGAAUGGCCCCUCCUAUUGUACCCAUGAUACAUCCCCAGGUUGCUAUUGCAGCUUCACCUGCUACCUUAGCUGGAGCAACAGCAGUUUCUGAAUGGACUGAAUAUAAAACAGCAGAUGGCAAAACAUACUAUUAUAAUAAUAGAACAUUAGAAUCAACCUGGGAAAAACCUCAAGAACUAAAGGAAAAAGAAAAGUUAGAAGAGAAGAUUAAAGAGCCAAUUAAAGAACCCUCUGAAGAGCCUCUGCCAAUGGAGACGGAGGAGGAGGAUCCUAAGGAAGAGCCUAUAAAGGAGAUAAAGGAGGAGCCCAAAGAAGAAGAGAUGACUGAAGAAGAAAAGGCUGCCCAGAAGGCAAAGCCGGUUGCUACUACUCCUAUUCCUGGUACUCCAUGGUGUGUUGUUUGGACCGGUGAUGAGCGGGUCUUCUUUUAUAAUCCCACCACUCGUCUUUCUAUGUGGGACCGACCUGAUGAUCUGAUUGGCAGGGCAGAUGUUGACAAAAUUAUUCAGGAGCCCCCUCAUAAAAAAGGAAUGGAAGAAUUGAAGAAACUAAGACACCCAACUCCGACAAUGCUGUCGAUCCAAAAGUGGCAAUUCUCUAUGAGUGCAAUUAAAGAAGAACAAGAAUUAAUGGAAGAAAUUAAUGAAGAUGAGCCUGUUAAAGCAAAAAAACGGAAGAGAAUGUCAAAGAAGUCCUUUAUGUGGAUUGCCCGAGCUUCUCUAUUUAGGAGAGAUGAUAAUAAAGACAUUGACUCAGAGAAAGAAGCUGCCAUGGAAGCUGAAAUUAAAGCUGCCCGAGAAAGGGCCAUUGUCCCUCUGGAGGCUCGAAUGAAGCAGUUCAAGGACAUGCUGCUAGAGAGAGGGGUGUCUGCUUUUUCAACAUGGGAGAAGGAGUUGCACAAGAUAGUUUUUGAUCCUCGGUACUUACUUCUCAAUCCUAAAGAGAGAAAACAGGUAUUUGAUCAGUAUGUAAAGACCAGGGCAGAAGAAGAACGCAGGGAAAAGAAAAACAAAAUAAUGCAAGCCAAGGAAGAUUUCAAAAAAAUGAUGGAAGAAGCAAAAUUUAAUCCAAGAGCAACUUUUAGUGAAUUUGCAGCCAAGCAUGCUAAAGAUUCAAGAUUCAAAGCAAUUGAAAAGAUGAAAGACCGAGAAGCCUUAUUUAAUGAAUUUGUGGCCGCUGCUAGGAAGAAAGAGAAAGAAGAUUCGAAGACCAGAGGUGAGAAGAUUAAAUCGGAUUUCUUUGAACUAUUAUCUAAUCAUCACUUGGACAGUCAGUCUCGAUGGAGUAAAGUAAAAGAUAAAGUAGAAAGUGAUCCACGUUACAAAGCAGUAGAUAGUUCAUCAAUGAGAGAAGACCUUUUCAAACAGUACAUUGAAAAAAUAGCCAAGAAUUUAGACUCAGAAAAAGAAAAGGAACUUGAAAGGCAAGCCCGCAUUGAGGCAAGCCUUCGAGAACGAGAAAGGGAGGUUCAAAAGGCUCGUUCAGAACAAACAAAAGAAAUAGAUCGAGAGAGAGAGCAGCACAAACGGGAAGAAGCUAUCCAGAAUUUCAAGGCUCUUCUGUCUGACAUGGUACGUUCUUCAGAUGUGUCAUGGUCUGAUACUCGUAGGACUCUCCGAAAAGAUCACCGCUGGGAAUCUGGAUCUUUAUUGGAAAGAGAGGAGAAAGAGAAACUUUUUAAUGAACACAUUGAAGCACUUACCAAAAAAAAGAGGGAGCACUUUAGGCAACUUUUGGAUGAAACUUCUGCGAUUACCUUAACAUCUACGUGGAAAGAAGUUAAAAAAAUCAUUAAGGAAGAUCCUCGGUGUAUUAAGUUCUCCUCCAGUGACAGGAAAAAACAAAGAGAAUUUGAAGAAUAUAUCAGAGACAAGUAUAUCACAGCCAAAGCUGACUUCAGGACGCUUUUGAAAGAGACCAAAUUUAUAACAUAUAGUUAAUUUAGUGAAAGAUGUGAAAGUGAAAGCUUGUGAAAGAUGCUGGGAUUGGCAGCCCCGCAGACUGAAGUCCUCUGUUCAUCCACAGAACAGAUCCAAAAAACUAAUCCAAGAAUCUGAUCAGCACCUGAAAGAUGUAGAAAAAAUUUUACAGAAUGACAAACGGUAUCUAGUACUGGACUGUGUGCCAGAGGAGAGGCGGAAACUGAUCGUGGCAUAUGUUGAUGACCUGGAUCGCCGGGGUCCCCCCCCACCUCCUACAGCGUCAGAGCCCACGCGGCGAUCAACAAAAUAAUUCUAAGUACUCUUCCACAGGGGUAUCCAUUCAAAACGCUUGCAUGAGCCAGUUUUCAGGUUUUUACAUAUAUGUGCAUUAGUCAACCUAUUGCAAAACCAUCUGACAAACAGAAGGAGAAGCAUUUGUGAACAGUUUCUGAACAGAACACUUUGGAAAUAUUUAUGCUUUUCUUUGUGUGGCAUGACUGACAUACAUACUCAAAUAUAGGCUGUCUCUAGUAAAUCUUAAAAUCUCGAAGCUAAAAUUCAUCCUUUUAUGAGGUGUGGAAGUCAGUGACUUGGUGGCGUUCUUUCUAGCAGUGUUAAUACAUGCAAGAAGUGAGAGCAUUUGUGGCUUGAACUUGCCAGAUGCAAAUACCACAGACUCCAAGAAAACCUGAGUUGGGGUUUGUUUUGUUUUGAUUUUUUUUUAAAGCGGGUAAAAGAGAAAACACUGAAAAUCGAAUUCUUCCAGAGGCUACGAUUAUUAUAAUGGACAAUACUUUUACCUUUGUCUCUAAAGAACAGAUUAGUUUUAUUUGUUCACUUACGUGCUUUGAUUAUCCCCUCUGAAUUAUAGACCAAGUCUUGUUGUUUAGCCUAAGAGAAGAUUAAUGUAGUAAUUUCUUCUCAGGUAUGGAACCAUGGUCAUAACUAACAUGUUGGCCAGAAUAGAACCACUGGUUAAACAUAUUUUAUUCACCAGUAAGUGAUCUUUAUCAAUAUUCUGGAUUAGACAACAAAUUACCUUUCUGGAUGUCUCCUGUAAACUAUACUCCUGUUCGAAUGUUAAACUUUUGUUGCUAAAGUUUUAAUUUUAAGAUGUUUGAAUGUUCAGUUUAUGUAUUUGAACUACAAUAAACAAACCCUUUUUAUAUA